rnacentral:lncRNA from 1 species
AGUGAGAAAAAAAUGACCAGUGAGACUCCACCCGCCAUCUCUAUGGCCCUGGUGAGUCCUCAGAUGUCUUCUGCCUCUGCAGACAGUAGAAACGCCUCCACACAGCAGCUCUCCAUCAGUGUGUGUGCCGUCCUGUAUUCCUACAAACCUCGACGGCCAGAGGAGCUGGAGUUGAGGAAAGGAGAGAUGGUGGGAGUUUACGGACAGUUCAAAGAAGGCUGGCUGCGUGGGUUAUCACUCAGAACCGGCAAAGUGGGCAUUUUACCCAGCAACUACAUCACACCUGUGCUCAGGUGAGAGGCUCUUUAGCCCCCACUUUCUGACUGCAGAAAAUGUGGGGCUGGGGCAUUAUUGGAUUGAGACAGCAAUGCAAAUGUUUAGGUUAUUCAUAUAUGAGGACUACAACACUGGCUGGAGCCUGGUUCAAAUAAAAUGUCUUUGCAGUACAAAAUGAUGUAGGUGCUAGAGAGAACGUGUCUCAUUGCCUCACUGCAGAACCUCAGCUCGGCUUCUGGAGACCAAAGCAGCCAGUGUGUCCUCACAGCACAACACAGUAGCUGGAAAGAAGACUACAGCUGCCAAGAAUCCCGCUGUGGUCCUUGCUCUUGAUAGGGUGAACGCUGAUGGAACAGUAUACCCAACAGGACAGGUUCCAUCUGUCCCGAAUGGAGCACAGCAUGCUGUGUCAUCUACCGGUACUGGAAAACCAUCCUUUCAUCGAGGCUCACAAGGUUGGGAUACUGUGAGGCGUAUCUUUAACCCACACAGAGGCGAGUGUGAAACAACCUCUAAUGUUUUGAUUAUUUUAAAGGUUUUGUCAGGUCCUUAAAUAAUACAUUGCAAAUUUUUUUUAGGUUUUAACCGUUCAUCUCAUACGUCCAACUUGAACAUCCCAUCCAACUCACAGCACUUUGCACAAGUUCAGGCUUCCGGCUACUCACCUGCCAUGCAGAGGAAGAAAAAAAGCAGCAUCAUGUCCAACUCUAGUCGACCACUGGGCUGGAUGACUGAGCCAGCAGCGCCCUCUGCUGCUGCAGUCCUAAAGGGCAUGGACUUCACUGCUUCACUUGAGGCAUCACUACAGCAUGAGAAACAGCCUGUCAAUGGACCUCAAUCAAUUCUAGUCAGACCUGAGUCCUACAAGAACAAUAUAGACAAGCCUGUAAAGUCAGUGCGGUUCCUCAAAGAAGACGACUCCCCUCCUCCCAGGCCUCGAACCUACUCCUGGUCAUCAGGAAGUCAGGUGCCCUCUAACUACCAUUCAGGACCCCUUCCAUUAGAAGUGUGGGCCCCGUCGCUGACCUUGGGAAGAGACGGACCAGGGAUCAUUCUCAAAGAAGGAAAAGCUCCCAUUCUCAGGAAAGGCCUUGAAACUACUGUCUCUGAUCUAAAUUCUAACCUGCAGAAGCCAGUAUUGUCACAGCCGUCCCUAUCAGCUGUAUCAGCUCAGUUCAGCCCCAUCAGACACAGAGUGACCACAACACACCUAGCCCAGACAGACUCAGAACUCAGUCUGCUUCAAGGGGAAGUCGUCCUCGUCCACAGACCUCGUCCUGAUGGGCGGGUUCUGGUUACUCAGGAGAUCAGUGGGCAGACAGGGUUAUUCCACAAAAGUGUUAUUCAAGCCCUUGAGAGGCUCAGCUGACUGCGUAGGACUACUGUAGUAGUGUAUAUUUAUAUAAUCCAUGUCACUGACCUGCCGAACAACAAGCUGCAUGUGGAGGUCCAAAGGAUAAUGCUGCCAAAUGACGUUCAAAUGAAAGACGUGUUUAUUUGUGUCCUGAGUGCAUAUGACAGUGUGAUUACAUUCUUCAGAAAAGCGUUUGUGUCUUUUAAGGUGUGCAUGUUUGUGACACGUGCUACUAUAAGAUUUUGCACAAAAAUCCAUCUAAUGACAGUUCCUUGUUUAAUAGCCCUGUUACACACAUUAGUGAGUGCCUUUGUCAAAACCCACGAAGAAAUUAUAUUUAAAUACAUUUAGAAAAAUUAUAUGGUAAAAUAUCUGUACUUCUAAUGUGGUAAUAAACUGUGCUUUAC